rnacentral:rRNA from 1 species
AAACUCAAGAACAACCGGGAUUGCCUUAGUAACGGCGAGUGAAGCGGCAAAAGCUCAAAUUUGAAAUCUGGUACCUUCGGUGCCCGAGUUGUAAUUUGGAGAGGGCAACUUUGGGGCCGUUCCUUGUCUAUGUUCCUUGGAACAGGACGUCAUAGAGGGUGAGAAUCCCGUGUGGCGAGGAGUGCGGUUCUUUGUAAAGUGCCUUCGAAGAGUCGAGUUGUUUGGGAAUGCAGCUCUAAGUGGGUGGUAAAUUCCAUCUAAAGCUAAAUAUUGGCGAGAGACCGAUAGCGAACAAGUACAGUGAUGGAAAGAUGAAAAGAACUUUGAAAAGAGAGUGAAAAAGUACGUGAAAUUGUUGAAAGGGAAGGGCAUUUGAUCAGACAUGGUGUUUUGUGCCCUCUGCUCCUUGUGGGUAGGGGAAUCUCGCAUUUCACUGGGCCAGCAUCAGUUUUGGUGGCAGGAUAAAUCCAUAGGAAUGUAGCUUGCCUCGGUAAGUAUUAUAGCCUGUGGGAAUACUGCCAGCUGGGACUGAGGACUGCGACGUAAGUCAA